CCUACGGGUGGCAGCAGUCGAGAAUUUUUCACAAUGGGCGAAAGCCUGAUGGAGCGACGCCGCGUGGGGGAUGAAUGGCUUCGGCCCGUAAACCCCUGUCAUUCGGGAACAAACCUCUCGACCUAAUACGUCGAGAGCUGAUUGUACUGGAAGAGGAAGGGACGGCUAACUCUGUGCCAGCAGCCGCGGUAAUACAGAGGUCCCAAGCGUUGUUCGGAUUCACUGGGCGUAAAGGGUGCGUAGGUGGUCGGGUAAGUCUGAUGUGAAAUCUCGGAGCUCAACUCCGAAACUGCAUCGGAAACUACUCGGCUAGAGGGUUGAAGGGGGGACUGGAAUUCUCGGUGUAGCAGUGAAAUGCGUAGAUAUCGAGAGGAACACCGGUGGCGAAGGCGAGUCCCUGGACAACUCCUGACACUGAGGCACGAAAGCUAGGGGAGCAA
rnacentral:rRNA from 1 species